ensembl:snoRNA SNORD115 Small nucleolar RNA SNORD115
GGGUUGAUUUUGACAAACCAAAGUCACGAAGAGAGGUGAUGACAUAAAAAUCAUGCUCAAUAUGAUUACGCUGAGGCCC